CCUACGGGUGGCAGCAGUGAGGAAUAUUGGUCAAUGGGCGGAAGCCUGAACCAGCCAAGUAGCGUGCAGGAUGACGGCCCUACGGGUUGUAAACUGCUUUUAUCCGGGAAUAACGCGCCUUACGUGUAGGGCUUUGCAUGUACCGUAUGAAUAAGGACCGGCUAAUUCCGUUCCCGCAGCCGCGGUAAUACGGAAGGUCCCGGCGUUAUCCGGGUUUAUUGGGGUUUAAGGGAGCGUAGGCCGCAUGUCAAGCGUGCUGUGAAAUGUCCGGGCUCAACCCGGGCCUUGCAGCGCGAACUGGCGUGCUUGAGUCCGCGGAAAGCAGGCGGAAUUCGUCGUGUAGCGGUGAAAUGCUUAGAUAUGACGAAGAACCCCGAUUGCGAAGGCAGCUUGCUGCAGCGGAACUGACGCUGAUGCUCGAAAGCGCGGGUAUCGAACAGGAUUAGAUACCCGAGUAGUC
rnacentral:rRNA from 1 species